rnacentral:rRNA from 1 species
UAGGGAAUCUUCCGCAAUGGGCGAAAGCCUGACGGAGCAACGCCGCGUGAGUGAUGAAGGUCUUCGGAUCGUAAAACUCUGUUAUUAGGGAAGAACAAAUGUGUAAGUAACUAUGCACGUCUUGACGGUACCUAAUCAGAAAGCCACGGCUAACUACGUGCCAGCAGCCGCGGUAAUACGUAGGUGGCAAGCGUUAUCCGGAAUUAUUGGGCGUAAAGCGCGCGUAGGCGGUUUUUUAAGUCUGAUGUGAAAGCCCACGGCUCAACCGUGGAGGGUCAUUGGAAACUGGAAAACUUGAGUGCAGAAGAGGAAAGUGGAAUUCCAUGUGUAGCGGUGAAAUGCGUAGAUAUAUGGAGGAACACCAGUGGCGAAGGCGACUCUCUGGUCUGUAACUGACGCUGAGGCUCGAAAGCGUGGGUAGCAAACAGG